AAUUCAAACAGAAGAAAGGGAAAUGGUUACUUGUACAGAAUCCAUAGGAUUAUUCUGGAUUCUGUUAUUGUCAUUUCUAUACCAAACCAACAGCGAUUGCAGAGCAAUUUGAUUUUCAUUGCUCAGACUCAACUGGACAUCCACAAUGGAUCAAGGCAAGUAUGUUGGCUAGCAUAGUUAAUUCAACUGAUUUGGUGGAGAGACAAAUUAAUAGCUAGACAUUCCACUCAACAGCUAGACUGGACAGAGCAACUGUGUGCAAGGGUUCUCUCUGUGAAAGUGUGAGGCUUUUUUUUUUAAAUGUGGAAUCCUCCAGGAACACAAUCCAAGCACUUCUCUAGGGUAAAUUACAUCUAGAUAGAGAAAAAAAAACCAACAUUUUUUUUUUAACCACUUCUUCCUCUCUGGACAGAUGGACAGCUUCACAAAGGAGUUUAAUGAGUACUUUAAUUUCAUUUUUACUUUUAGAGUCUCAAAGCUAGUGAGGGGAACUAGCACAUGUGCCCUCCACCCAGACACCCAUGAUCACUUCCCCUACCACCAGGAAGAAGCAUUUACAGAUACAACCAUUAUUUUUAGAGGAGCCACCAAAUUAUUUCAAAAGAAUCAACAUGUUUUCCAUAAAUUGACAAUAAGUUGUAGCCUGCAUUAUUAUGUUCAUUCUUCUGUAUCAUAUGAAUUGCAGUAGAGUCAAGGUUCUCUUAUAAAAAUCUCCAAAGUACUGAAGAAAUUAAUUUUAAAAGGUUUUAAAUGAGGACUUAAGAGGUUAAAUGUUACUUAGCCUUCUAAAACUCUCAAAGCCAUGCAGCUUUGAUUUAAAGAUUCCAAUUACUUAGAGAAGUUGGCUGUUUUAAGGAUAAUUCUGGUAAUGAAUGGGAAAAGUUUUGAGAAACUUAGUGUGGCCAAUCUAAUGGAAUGAUCAACCUUAUGCACCAAGGUCACAUUCCAGGUCCCAGCAAUGCCAAUCUUCUCCAGACUCCUCCUUAUCUAUAUUUGGCCCAUAUAAUUAUAUAGAAAUUGAUCCACACCCACAAGAGCCCACAAUCCCUGCCUAACUAAAAUGCAUUUUAAUUAUUUUAAAUGCGAGCUGCAUGGAAACGCUGGGUGUGGUAAUAACGGGCGUCUAUUUCAGUAAAGCUAUUUCAGUAAAAAUCACACCUGUAGUGGAAACAGUUAAAUUACUGCAAUCUUGCUAUAGUUUACAUCCAGUUUCUCAGUUUCAGGGUUAUGUGUCUUGCAACACCUAUUUUGUUAAUUCUCCUUUCAUCAUGGAUUUUUCCCAGUUAAAAGAAAACUGAACUUAUAAUUAGGAAAAACAAAUAGCUAAGAAGGAGCAAAAGGAAAUUUGUCUUAAUCUACGGUCUUUAUACGUAUAUAUUCUGUAACCAUUAAAGCUAUUUUUAAAAGCAGGCAGCUCAAGCUGCAUUUUUUCCCUUUUUGAAUGAACACAGACUGCUUUCAAUAAUUAGAAACACAGCCUAUGUGGCUUAGUAGAAGGACUGCCAAAUUCAUUGCCUUUCUUCAAAACCAGAAUCACCAAUAUUGGCAGAACAGGUAAUGAUCCUGGAAAAAUCAAGAAUUUGCAGUUGGAGACUUGACUCUUCACCUUUCAGCUACUUCCACAUAAAUAUUUUAUGAUUCAUCUUAAUUUCUGCAGUGGCAGAAAUAGAAUUCCAAUACAACGGUCAGGAAGUUUCCCUUGAAUAAGUGGGUUUUGCAAAAGUUUUUUUAAUUUGUUCAAAAGUAAAUUUUAAAUCAUUUCCUCAACAAAAAUUCAAGAGAAGGGAAAUUUGUAAAUGCAGUUUUUCACAAAAACAACAAAAAAAUCCCAGCCACUUGUAAUACAAUGGCAAUGAAAUGUCUACUGUGAAUAAAAAAAAUUGAAAUAUUUUCUUUUCUUCUUUAUAAAUCACUCUGGAAAGUUCACAGCCUUUCAGAGAUUUGGGAUUCCACCUCAUUCUUAAAGGUAAUGAAAAGCCUCCCACUAAGUUAAAUAUGCUUUUCAUUCAUGUAAACAGCAUCAAAACUCCUGGAAGACCUCCUGCCUACAUGAAAAGUAUUCAAGGGUGAUUAGGGAGAGGCUAUGGUUCCUGAUUUGAAGGCAGAGAGCAACGAUUUAGAAUCCAGUGCAUGUCAAGUCAGUAGCAGGUGCCCUGCCCAAGGAGGGACAUCUUCCCUGCUCUGAUGGAUUCACAGCCACAGGGUCAGGAUCACCCUGGGAGCAGAUCCCCUGCAGUACAGGAACACUCAGACUUUCAUGCUGAAUGCAAGACUACAGCUACUUUCUUCUCCUCUGACCCUGCCCUUGGGCUUCGGGUUAUGCAAUGACUCAGCUCCAACAGCAGGGAAGAUGUUUAUUGAGUAAGCAUCCUCCAUAUAUCACGGCAAAAAUGGCAGUAGGACACUUAUCUAAAGUCAAGUUCAUGUUUCAAGAUAAAAGUCCUUAGAAUACCAGUUUCCUUCUUUUUGGGGGGUGAAUUCCAGUGCUUUCUGAUGCUGGAAAUACCACUGAAUGAGUACCUCUGAACAGCUUAAACCUUCUUUCAGGAGAGCAGAGUUGGAAGAAUAUCAGCUCAGUUGCCAAAAGAAACACUUCUCAUUGGGCAUUUGUGAUUAAACAUAGAAAUAACAGGAAUCUGGAUCGGUUAUACAGUAUUUUGUAGGUUUAAUAGCACAAAAAUUAAGCAAAACUGGGGAUUAUGUAGACUAGUCUUACUACUUAGAGACUCCAGCAUAUUCAGGUGCAAUGGUCCCAUCUAAUGUACUCACGGAGUCCAUCAGCAUGUGAGUAACAUACCUCUGGUAUCAACACACAAAAUAAGAAAUAAGUAGAGGUAGUCACAAAAUAAGACAUUCAAGGCAAUUUACUAGAUUUCAAAUUGUGCUCAUGUCCUAUGCUGGAAGAAAAAGCACCAUGUUCCUAAUGUUCUUGUCAAAAUGUACCUUGUCAAAAUGUUCAAGUUUUGCUUGACAACCUCAGGCUUUCCUUUUUUAUGCUGCCUUUCUUGCUCCCUCUAAACCAAGCUUACAGUGAUGUGAUCACAGGCAGGGUCAGACAAACCUUUCAGGUAAAUUCCCUAUAAAAAUUACCAAAUUUUUAUAUUUUAAAUUUUCCUGGAACAUUUCAGCUCUAGUGAAACUGCACUUCUGUGAAAAUAUAUUUGUUAAAAGAUUCAUAACUAGAUGCUGCAGCUGAGUAUUCUUUGGGAUCUUCCACACACUGAGAGAGCUGCUGUUACACAGGACCCUAUCUUCUGAGCUCUUCACAGCUGAAAAGACCUUAGGGAUCUGUUCAUAAAGGUCUGAUACUCGGCAGUGCCAAAUGUAAGCAUUCAGUGCCUAGCCCCAGAAAGGAAUUUGUGAUGCCAGAUUAAGCACCGAAGUUUCCUGGGCAGUGCAGGAGUCUCAAGGUGGAUUUCAUGCUGCCUGGCACGUCAGGGGCAAGAUGCCUGUGCUGCACAGCAGGAAAUGAUGGGGAGAGGAAUGUAUCAGAAAGCCUCCUCUCUCAGAGGGCCCCUCUUAGGGCCACGGCCACUGAGUUGGGCUGGGAAACCCAUCUCCAUCCUUUUGAAUCAAGACACAUGGCUCACUCCUAAUAACCAGUAGGACAUGGCAGAGCAUCAUAUAGGUAUCUUGGUGGUUCAAAACUACCUAUCUGGGCUACCUUCGAUAGAAAAGAAGGCAAAAACCAGUGAGAAUUUGAUGUGGCAUGUGACUUGGGAGCGAUGGGAGCCUGACCUGAGAAGGUUUACCUGAUGCACUCACUGGAUAAGGAAGCACAUACAGAGCUCCAGGAGCAAGAACUGGAUGUUCCUAAUUCCAGUCCUGGAGUCAGGGCGCCUGUAGAUAGGCGUGGUGAAGCUGAGCACUGCCACACCUAGGGCCACUCCUGGAUCUGGCCCUCAUUGCUCCCUGCACACACACUGACAACAGCAUGCCCUAGAUUAGCCACACUUGCUUUCAUUUGGUGUAACUGAAAGGAUUUUAAAAUUAUGUGUUCUUCUUCACCUAUGCUGUUUGCUCUCUUACUUACUAGAAUCAGAAUGGAAAAAUAAAUCAGUCAGGCAACUUCUUCUUUUUUUUUUUUUUUUUGUUUUAAACUUUUUAGAUGCCUAUGCACUAGCAAAAUAGCAUGAUAGUUAGAAUGUAUCAUUUUAAAGAAAUUAUAUAUUAUUGUGUCUGUAUGGGUAUUUACACAUUUCAAAUGGCUUCCCUUUCAAUAAAAACCUUUAAUAAAACAGAAACUUUUUCAAUAGUUUUAGCUUAUUCAAGAGGUUUUACUUUAUCUAAAUUCAGAAGCCAGAGCAAUUUUCAGUACUCAACAGGCUAAAUUCUCUACCAAACUCUCUAUUUCCUGGUUAUUACAGCUCACAAUAUAUUUCAAUGUAACAUAUUUGACCUCCAUCCUGAUUCUGCAAACACCUAAAUGCAUCCUUAGGACUAAGCAUGCACCUUCAAUGCAUUAAGACACAUGCAUCAGGAUACAUGCCUGCUUAAUGGCUGCAACACAGUAUUUCUGCAGAAAGUGAUGAUAGCAGACCAAGUUACUUGGUUGAAGGAUCAGGCCCUCAAACUACAAUGUUAGACAUGGCAGGAGGUUUUCCUCCAGUUCUCUCUCCCAUCCCACUGCAGGGGAGUGAAUGAGUGACUGCAUGGGGCUGAGCUGCAAGCUGGGCUUAAACCACAACAUGGUGUAUCUCCUAUUUUCUCUACUGUGAAAGAUCUCUUAAGAAGCUGUGCACUGCCUCUCUAACCAGAGACUGAAUGUCUGUGUUGUACCAACCUUGAGCAAACCACCACAAAACAAUGCCAGUUCCUUAAAGAGAUUUUUGAAAAAGCCAUAAGGAAUACUCACG